AUUAUUUAACGUCAUUGUUUGAUCAUCUCUCAUCUAACAUAUUUUUAAAUUUAGAAUUCAUUUUUGGAAAAAAUUCUUUAAAGUUGUUAAGAAAAUGUAAACGAAAAUAUGUUUGCCAGUUAUUCAAAUGUCUUCUCUUGGAAAUUGAAUAUUCUUGUCAUGAUGUGAUAGUAUGGUGUAUCGUCGCCAAUAGUGAUGUACGUUACUACAGCCCUAUCUUAUUUUAUAAUUUAACCAUUUUUUAUUUUAUCUAUUCUAAUUUAUCUUAAAAAACUAAAUUUUUGUUAAAACAAUAUUUUAUUUAAAACAAAACUAGUUAUACCUUCUUUUUAUAAAAGUGUAUUAACUUAAAUCUCUUUUUAAAUUAAAAAAUUAU